AUUGAACGCUGGCGGCAUGCUUUACACAUGCAAGUCGAACGGUAACAGGCCGCAAGGUGCUGACGAGUGGCGAACGGGUGCGUAAUGCAUCGGAACGUGCCCAGUCGUGGGGGAUAACUACUCGAAAGAGUAGCUAAUACCGCAUACGAUCUAUGGAUGAAAGCGGGGGACCGUAAGGCCUCGCGCGAUUGGAGCGGCCGAUGUCAGAUUAGGUAGUUGGUGGGGUAAAGGCUCACCAAGCCAACGAUCUGUAGCUGGUCUGAGAGGACGACCAGCCACACUGGGACUGAGACACGGCCCAGACUCCUACGGGAGGCAGCAGUGGGGAAUUUUGGACAAUGGGCGCAAGCCUGAUCCAGCAAUGCCGCGUGCAGGAAGAAGGCCUUCGGGUUGUAAACCGCUUUUGUACGGAACGAAACGGCUCUGGUUAAUACCCGGGGCUAAUGACGGUACCGUAAGAAUAAGCACCGGCUAACUACGUG
rnacentral:rRNA from 1 species